GAUGAACGCUGGCGGCGUGCCUAAUACAUGCCAGUCGAGCGAACAGACGAGGAGCUUGCUCCUUCGACGUUAGCGGCGGACGGGUGAGUAACACGUAGGUAACCUACCUAUAAGACUGGGAUAACUUCGGGAAACCGGAGCUAAUACCGGAUAAUAUUUCGAACCGCAUGGUUCGAUAGUGAAAGAUGGCUUUGCUAUCACUUAUAGAUGGACCUGCGCCGUAUUAGCUAGUUGGUAAGGUAACGGCUUACCAAGGCAACGAUACGUAGCCGACCUGAGAGGGUGAUCGGCCACACUGGAACUGAGACACGGUCCAGACUCCUACGGGAGGCAGCAGUAGGGAAUCUUCCGCAAUGGGCGAAAGCCUGACGGAGCAACGCCGCGAGAGUGAUGAAGGUCUUCGGAUCGUAAAACUCUGUUAUUAGGGAAGAACAAACGUGUAAGUAACUGUGCACGUCUUGACGGUACCUAAUCAGAAAGCCACGGCUAACUACGUG
rnacentral:rRNA from 1 species